UACAGAGGUCUCAAGCGUUGUUCGGAUUCAUUGGGCGUAAAGGGUGCGUAGGCGGCGCGGUAAGUCGGGGGUGAAAUCUCGGAGCUUAACUCCGAAACUGCAUUCGAUACUGCCGUGCUUGAGGACUGGAGAGGAGACUGGAAUUUACGGUGUAGCGGUGAAAUGCGUAGAUAUCGUAAGGAAGACCAGUGGCGAAGGCGGGUCUCUGGACAGUUCCUGACGCCGAGGCACGAAGGUCAGGGGAGCAAACGGG
rnacentral:rRNA from 1 species